GCGGCUCUCACACUCCCACCUUCACGAUUUCCAGGCUCUUCCGGGCCCGAGGUGACCGCUCGUCUGACGGCUCCAGCGUCCUUGGAGUCCAGCUCUGUAUCCGCAAGCCGCGGUUUCAAGGCUGACCGGCCACGCAGCUGGGGUCGCCUCCUCUCUGCCCCCUGCAGGCCGGCUCUGGGUACUGCUCAGGGGUCCGUCGGGGCCUGGAGCGCGGAGCGCGGAUCGCGGAGGGCGCCCCAGGCCGCCGUUCCACCGGCUGCCGGCCCCCAGCCUGGCCGCGGAGACGCAGGGCCAUGGCGCGGGUGCUGAUCGUGGGCGCCGGGCUCCCAGAAAGCCUGGGCGCUGCGCUACUGAGGAAGGAGACGUACAACCCUCUGCCCCUCUCUGUGUGGGACAAGGCUGAGGAAUCAGGGGGAAGAAUGACUCCCGCCAGCAGCCCUCAGAAUCCACAGAGCACCGUCGACUUGGGUGCACAGUAUAUCACCUGUACUCCUCAUUAUGCCAAAAAACACAAAAGUUUUUAUUUCAUCACAGCUCUGUCCUCUUCCUCAAAACCAACAUAACUCAUGGCAUUUUGAAGCUUCUGGCCUCUCCUAUUGAAGGAAUGGUGAUGAAAGAAGGAGAUUCUAACUUUGUGGCACCUCAAGGAGUUUCUUGAAUUACUAAGCAUUACUUGAAAGACAGCAUUUGUCGCUCUUUAUGCUGUACCACAGUUAAUUGAUAACACCCUUCAACUCCUCUGUGUGCUGGAGAUCCUGUGAGAGUGUCCUUCUGCAUAUCCUCACCCAACAGCACUUGAAUAUAUAUAAAAUCGACUCAGGACCUUUUUGGUGAAGAAUUCCAGUGAUGAUAGAGGUUCUUGGGAUGUUCCCUCUUGGAUCUGCCACCAUGUUCUGAGAAGUUCAGGUCGUGUGAAGAGGCCACGGUAGAGGAGAACUGAGCAGCUCCGAAUGUCCACCCCAGAUGACCUUCUGGCUGAUAGAGGCCCACCUCCAGCCAGGGCCCAGCCGGACCAGGCCUCUGGCCCCAGGCCAUGGCAUCUGCGGAGUAGCUACUCAGCUGAGCCCUUUCAAACGCUAAGAGAGACAAAUAGUUGUUUUAAGUGGCCAGAUUUUAAGAGGUAUAAUUAAAGCAAUAUCCUGUCUCUUUUCAAGUAAGGCUUAAGUUUGUUUGGCUAACUCUAAGGUUAGUGCAAACAGCUAAGCUUUUGUACUUUAUUGCAACUGACUUUAUGUUGCAUUUUCAAAUACACUGUUAUUCAAGGUGACAGAUACUGAUCUGUUUUCUUUCCACGCAUCCUCAUAGCUAUUAACACAUUGCCGGGCACCUGGGACUUUGAUUACCUGAGGUUGCCAGUUGAAUUGUAACAAAAUAGAGGAGCAAACUGGGGUAAAAAGGGGUUCUUUGAAAAUGAGGCAGAUUUUAACAAUUUAAGGAUUUUGACUAACCCACUAUUAAUAACAGUUUAUAAAGAGCAUGUCUGUUUAUGUAUAUAUAGUAUGUACAUAUAUAUUUAUAUGGGCAUGAAUCUGGAUUCUCUGAUUGUCAUUUAGAGGUUUUGUAAACUCAAUCUAAAAUAUCAAUAUUAGUUAGAAUCAUUGUCAUCUGUUGAAAUAUAUAUGUGGAAUUGUGAAAGACCAGAUAGAAGAGAAAUGGUGAUCUGAAUCAAUUUAACAGAAAGGGGGAAAAAAAGCAGGCAAGAUUAGAACUACACUGUAAAAUAGUGGACAUAAUUUCUCUUUCCAGUUUCUCCCACACAUUCACAUGUACUUGAUGUGGGAAGUAACAGUCACCACACCCUGACGGCCCCUUGGGAAUGGACACUGUUAUGUAUUGAUGUAAACAAUAAUGAAGCACAGUUCAAGGCAGAAUCCUGGAUUUAGUAAGCAGAAUAUUUCUAUUUGCUAUCCAAAACAUUUCUUUAAGGUUUGAAGAAAACUGGCAUUAUUUAAAAUGUGAGGGAUUUUUAAUUUUUAAAUUCCAAGUGCACUUUCAAGUUCUUUUAAUAUUUUUGUUAAUCACUAUGUAAGACAAUAAAAUAUCCAAUACUGUUAAUAAUUUUCCAGAAAUCUUUCCUAAUGGACCAACCAUCCCAGCUAUGUUGCUUCACAUAAUUAAUAUUAUAUGUUUCUGAACUGCACUUGCUAAGAGAGAAAGGUUAGAAAAUAACACAGAGUACAAGAGGCUGUGUGAGUGUGUGUGUUGGGGAACGAAGUCCCUUCCUCUCCAGAUUCUUAAGCUGUACUUGUGUAAAAUGAAAAGGUAAUUUGGUCUUUCCCUAAAGGGUAUAUUCAAGAACAUGUAUUAAACGUGUUUAAACGUUCUUUGAGAUGCAAGUACUUCAGAGAGAGAGCGGUGCCGCGCAAGCUUUAUGCAGGCGAACAGUCAGCGUGCUGUUGGAACCGCUCUGACGGUCCCGGGAGGCGCCGAGGAACUUCACACCCGCACCUCCGUCCGGCGAGACGCGGCGCAGAGGCGGCUGGAGAGGGA